rnacentral:lncRNA from 1 species
AAAAUCCCUAGAUUUAAAUGAAUUGCCAUGGCAGUUUUAAAAAAUGCCCCCUACCCCCUGGCGUCCUUUUUUUAAUGGCUUUAGAAGUCCAAUUGAGUCCAAACACAAUCAACUUAAAUAACUUGGAUUUUUAUGAAAUAACUACUGACCAAUAUUUUAUAUUUUUGAUAAUGGUGUUAGUUCGUUCUUGAAGAAUAUUCAAAUAAGGUUACAGACAAAUUUAAACAAGCCCAUAAUAAGUUUUAAUACCUUCGAAAAUACAACCACAAACAAGGGAAAUCAACUAUAUUUAUUGAUUGGCUAAUUUAUUCAACAUUCCAAAUUUCGAAAUAUUUGGAUGUUACAGACGGCUCGCCUUAAGAUCUUAUUGCACGUUGCUUCACAUCCUGAAGCAACUUGAGGCAGAAUCAGCAUGGAAAGAAGCAGGCGCAGUAACUAAGUUCAGGAUAUUGAUGGUCCGUGUCACACUCCGCAUACGGGUAACCCUCAUGUUCGCAGUCCUCUGUGCAUUGGUCACCCUUGCAUUGCGAAGUAGGGUACGUCUGGCUUAACCGCCUGCAGUGGCCUUCAGAUCCUGCUGUAAAAUAUGGGCAACAUUUGAAUAACAACAUUAGAAAACAAAACACUGAGAAACUAUUAUAUUAUUCAGAUAAUUAUUCCAGGCAAGGCUUACCAGGAAGCAAGAGGAGUGACAUGAGCAAAAUUAAGCACAAGCUUGCCAUCUUGACCUUGUCGACCUCCAUAUCUCCAGGAAUAAACACCCAAGCAAAGAAGGAUGGAAUUCCAAAUAGGUUAACUUAGUAGUGCACCACUGAUCCCUUCUUAUAGAGAUGGAUGAUGGAACCUUACAAUAAACCAAACAGAAAAGGUUGUAUAUAUCUGGAUGAUGCAAUGAUGUGUUGUGUAAAUUGAAAAGACACUAUAGGUUGUUGUGGGUUGGUGUGUGCGCGCUCGCACGCGUGCGUGGAAUGGUGCCUUUGUUGCUUAGGUGGAACCCUAAAAAACAGAAAUUGUCAUAUUUAUCUGGAUGAUGCAUGGUAUAUAUCCAGAAGAUGCAACGAUACAUUGUACAUUGAAGAAAAGACAUUCUCAGGGGUGAUAAAAGACACCCUAGGUAGUUGAUACAUGUGUGUGUGUGUGUUGGUGUGAGGUAUUGCCUGAUGUUUGUACUGCUCAAAAUGGUGCAUUUGUUGGUUAGACAGAACCCUACAAAAGGCAAACAGAAAAUGUCAUUAUAUGGAUGAUGCAAUUGUAUAUAUCCGAAUGAUGCAGCAAUGUGUCACACACUGGAAAAAGACACCGAGACAUGAUAAAAAGGCACCCCGGGUUAGUUGAUACAUGCAUGUCUUUUAUGUGAGGUAUGUCAUGAUAUUUGUAUCGCUCAAAAUGGUGCCUUUGGAUCUUAGCAGUAGGAAAAAAACACCCAGCGUAUCACGCAUUGGAUUAGGAAAUAAUGUUGCUGGGGUAAUUGCACUUGUCGAUGUAGUAAGUGAAGCAUGCUUGGCUUUGCACGAGAACAAUAUUGUGCACAGCCUAAUGAUGUCCAACCACGGCAGAAAUGUUUUCUUAUUCCCCAGGUGAAACUCGCUAAUACAUUGUGUUCCAUCUCUAAAUAAAUGUUUUAUCAACAAAGGAAUUGUUAGGUGUUAAUCUCUGGUGUUUGAUUUUAGGUGAAAAAUCUGGUCACUGGCUGCUGUCUUUCUGCCUGGGAGUGCUGUGGCUACUUUGUUUAUCACACCAAAGUUGAUUUCGACCGAGCUUCUAGUAGAAAUUCUGAAUUGGUAUAAUGGCUCUUUCUUACAUUACAACUUACAAUACAAGAGUUUCUUACAGGAGUGAAACAAAACUAAAAAAAAAGAUUAAAGAAUAACGUUUGACAAAAUGAUUAAUGCAAAAUGAUCCAUUAAAGAAAAGAAUUGAUACAACAAUUUGAUUACUUAAUCAAUUAGUAGUAUCCCUGCCAUGAUUUUCAAAUCUUUUCUAUUUAGUAGUCUAAGUUUCUCGAUGAGGAUAAUUAAUUCGGUCGUUGUGGUCGGACUCUAUUAUGGAUUUCUACUACAUUCUCCAUAGGUCCCUCUUAGAUCUUCUUUCUCCAAUCUUGGAUUAGGGAAGAAGGAGAUAUUCGCGACUACUGGCGAUUUCAUUAUGGGGCAGCUCAUGAUCUUCAUAUCGAUCUAUUGUCCACCUCUGUAUCUAUUCUUUCUUAGCUAAACAGGUGGAAGAUCUAUCCAAUUUGGUUAUAUUAUAUCAUGGACUCGCAAAAACGGAUCUGAAUUUGACUGAAAUGCACGAUCUUCACAGGUAUCACUUUUCACGAUACCUAAAAGGUGGAAUAGCGAUUUUCGAACCAUUUCCUAUAAGAGAAUGGUUUCCAUUACUUUGAGAAAUGGAUUCUUGAGACCGGAAUUUCCAAUAGGAUGGCUUCGUUCUCGUUCCAAGAUGGUGACUUUGAAGACUUGAAGAAACUCUGCUGCGCUAUAGCUGAUGGCCUUGUUACCUAAGCCUGCACCGUAUGCAAGCAUCAACAAUGUGUGCAGCGGUUCAUUAUGUAAAAUCACCCAGAAUGUUACUGCAACUAUAAACAUAUCGUGUAUCAUGCUCUCCCAUUCCCCGUGUUUGGCGUGUUAUGCAUAAAUACUAUGAAACAUAUGUCUGAAGACAUCCGGGUUGAUGAAUAAAGCUUGCUGUUCUCCUCAUGAAUCAAUCUCUGAAUAUUUGCAAGGAUUGUGCAAUGAUAUUUCAGCUACUACAUUUGUAGUUUACAGAAUCAACUUUGCAGCAUUUCUGUGAGACAUUGAAUUACUUCAGAACUGAACCUGUGAUAUAGCAGAUGACUUGAUUUGUUUCAUGUGGUUUGCUUCAGAAGGCACAUGCCCUUGAUCUGAUAGCUUUGUUGCAGAAACAGUUUUUACUUGGAUGUGUUAUAAAUUUAUAUAGCUUGCAGUUGUUACUGGGAGUUCAAAGAUUGUAUGUAGAGAAGGAAAUCUGUUGCAGUUAUAAGUUGUGCAUCGACGUUAAGAUGGAUCUUAUCACUCAUUGCAUCGGCCGCAACAUCUUGAGGCAGCAUCAGAUUCAGCAGGGUUUGUUGCAGAGGCUAGGUAGCCACUAAUGAUGGAAAAGAAAAAAAAAACAGAAAAUUGUGUAUGGUUGCAGCCGGUUUUCAUCUCAAUCCUAUGUAUGGUUGCAGCCGGUUUUCAUUUCAUCGAAGUUUGGACAGUAAGCCAGUUUCUUGUGUGCGAUGGUGGCACUUUUGGACGAAAAAAUCCCCAGAUUUAAACGAAUUGCCAUGGCAGUUUUUAAAAAUGCCCCCACCCCCUGGCGUCCUUUUUUAAUGGCUUUAAAAUUCCAAUUGAGUCCAAACACAAUCAACUUAAAUAACUUGGAUUUUUAUGAUAUAACUACUGACCAAUAUUUUAUAUUUUUGAUAAUGGUGUUAGUUCGUUCUUGAAGAAUAUUUCAAAUAAGGUUACAGACAAAUUUAAACAAGCCCAUAAUAAGUUUUAAUACCUUCGAAAAUACAACCACAAACAAGGGAAAUCAACUAUAUUUAUUGAUUGGCUAAUUUAUUCAACAUUCCAAAUUUCGAAAUAUUUGGAUGUUACAG